rnacentral:rRNA from 1 species
CCUACGGGAGGCAGCAGUGAGGAAUAUUGGUCAAUGGACGAGAGUCUGAACCAGCCAAGUAGCGUGAAGGAUGACUGCCCUAUGGGUUGUAAACUUCUUUUAUAUGGGAAUAAAAUGUUCCACGUGUGGGAUUUUGUAUGUACCAUAUGCAUAAGGAUCGGCUAACUCCGUGCCAGCAGCCGCGGUAAUACGGAGGAUCCGAGCGUUAUCCGGAUUUAUUGGGUUUAAAGGGAGCGUAGGUGGAUUGUUAAGUCAGUUGUGAAAGUUUGCGGCUCAACCGUAAAAUUGCAGUUGAAACUGGCAGUCUUGAGUAUAGUAGAGGUGGGCGGAAUUCGUGGUGUAGCGGUGAAAUGCUUAGAUAUCACGAAGAACUCCGAUUGCGAAGGCAGUUCACUGGACUGCAACUGACACUGAGGCUCGAAAGUGUGGGUAUCAAACAGGAUUAGAUACCCGAGUAGUC